UCGUGGGUGGAGUCGUCAUAGCACGGCGGCCCGAAAGUCCCUUACCGUCAUUUGUGUGCGACACAAACGCAACACAACAAUGUACAUGGAGGCGAUGGUUCACCUGCUGCUCGGUCUGUGGCUUUCUGUCAGAUUCAAAGUAAUAGAAGAGUCGGAGAAAGCUGAGAGCAGCGAGUGGAAACACUGAGGAGACACACAGGAGAGUUUGGGAGGCGAUACAGCAGCAUCAAGCCGAAAACAAGAGGAUAUGAACUAUGAUAUGAGGUUCAAAGGUCCCUCUCUAUCUCCCCACACAUCCACCAACCACUGGAACACAUCUCCAAAGUUCUGCUGGGCCAGCUCAGCUUCCCCUCAGAAGAAGUGCUGCCACCUGCCAGAUGAAGGAGCCUUUUGAGAGGCAGCUGGCAUCGUGAUUGGACUGUACUUUGGUCUGUUCCAAUCCAGCUUCAGCUCCAGAGACGGCAGGUGGGAUGAGUCAACGGAGGCCUGGUGGACGAAGACAUGCAGCUGAGUACAAUCCAGAAAACAACAGAGGAGGAGUGCAGCAGCCCAGAGCCAGAACAACCAGAGUAGCAUCUUAUGUCUCUUAGAAAACAUCAUAGUAGAGCCUUUGGGAUGAAAAAAACGCCAUCAUAUACAUCGUAUAUUGUACAAAUAACAAGUUAAAGGAAAGAGACAUACAUUGUAGAAUUGUAGUAAUUGUGGGCUGACUGAUUUACUGAUUAUCGGUAUUUUAUUUUUUACUGAUUUACGGUAAUAAAUACAUUUAAAAAUGGU